rnacentral:lncRNA from 1 species
CACAAUCCCUGCUCUGUCAGAUUGUAUUAAAUGUAAUCAGAUCAGACAAUGACAUACACCAAGAUAGAAGUGGUAGAAAACCCUGUGACAGAGGGACCAUAGCCACUCAGACAGACAGGAGGAAAACUAGAUAGCAUGCUGAGUGAAAACUGCUGACAGAAUACUGGAAGUUGUACAACACAACCAGCCAGCAACAGGUAAGUGAAGGCUUGAUCACUACGAGGAAGCCAACGGGGGAAGAGUGAAUUGUGGGUAGAGAGGAACAGAGGUGGGACCUCUUGCCGCGUGGGCACAGGGUGACAGCAAGAUUCUUCAGAUGGACUUAAUGACCUUGGCCCUCAACAAGAGCAAAUCAGAAUGCUGGACAUUUUCCUCCCCAUGAGAGCUUCUACGUGUGAAAGGCAGGGAUACCAGAUGCUAGAGACACAAUGGAAUAGUACCAGGUUCGAUGUAACCUCCUGACCCAUGAGUCACCCAACCUCGUGAGCCACCGAGAAAACAUCUACCUGAAACAUUUCCUUCUGCUCUUGCUGUGUAAAGGUGUCCAACUAUGACAGACAUUUCUUUUGGUAAACACGGGACGCGGAGACAACCCUGUCAUCUGACCUCUGAAAGGUGUGAAAAAUUAUGGGAUGCUGCUGGACUUUUCCAAAGCACUCGAUUGGCUCCACCCAGUCUUUGUAUAAAUUAAAG